UGAUGGCUGGCAAAGCUGUAUAAAAGGGAGUGCACCAGAAGGGAUUUUUAGGUCUUUAGAAAAAGAGAAGUCAAGGGCAGGAUGAGGAGCAGGAGGAGGAUUUAGAAGAAGGAGAAAUCAGAGGCAACAGCAGAAGAAGCCGCCUCAGAGUGAGCAGCAGCAGUGCGAGCUGCUGGGACAGAGCAGAAAGGACUGACAGAGCAGAGGGAAAGAAGCCACCAGAGAGAGUAAGAUGUUGAAACUGUAUGAAGGAGAUGGGAGGAUCAAGCCCAUAAAUUAGUUACAGUAGUGAGACCCAAGAUUGAAGACAAACUAAUUUAAAGCUGCUCUUAACAGCAACUUCUGUAGAAAAAAAAUGUUGCUGGAAUAAUAUGGAUGAGGAUUCUUGGAUUGCUUCCUGGAGACUCUUAACAAGCGAUG